UACGAAGGGUGCAAACGUUGCUCGGAAUUAUUGGGCGUAAAGAGCUCGUAGGCGGUCUGUCGCGUCGGCUGUGAAAUCCCGAGGCUCAACCUCGGGUCUGCAGUCGAUACGGGCAAACUAGAGUAUUGCAGGGGAGACUGGAAUUCCUGGUGUAGCGGUGAAAUGCGCAGAUAUCAGGAGGAACACCGGUGGCGAAAGGCGGGUCUCUGGGCAAUAACUGACGCUGAGGAGCGAAAAGCGUGGGGGAGCGAACAGG
rnacentral:rRNA from 1 species